rnacentral:SRP_RNA from 1 species
CGUCGGUGCCUCCGCGACGAUAGAUCGAAAACUCCGCCAGGGCCGGAAGGCAGCAACGGUAUCGCUCGACUCGUGCGCCGGAGAUACGCUGGCGGGG